CCUACGGGAGGCAGCAGUGGGGGAUAUUGCACAAUGGGGGGAACCCUGAUGCAGCGACGCCGCGUGGGUGAAGAAGCGCUUCGGCGCGUAAAGCCCUGUCAGCAGGGAAGAAAAUGACGGUACCUGAAGAAGAAGCCCCGGCUAACUACGUGCCAGCAGCCGCGGUAAUACGUAGGGGGCAAGCGUUAUCCGGAUUGACUGGGUGUAAGGGGGGCGCAGACGGCGAUGCAGGCCAGGAGUGAAAGCCCGGGGCCCAACCCCGGGACUGCUCUUGGAACUGCGGGGCUGGAGUGCAGGAGGGGCAGGCGGAAUUCCUGGUGUAGCGGUGAAAUGCGUAGAUAUCAGGAGGAACACCGGUUGCGAAGGCGGCCUGCUGGACUGCAACUGACGUUGAGGCCCGAAAGCGUGGGGAGCAAACAGGAUUAGAUACCCGUGUAGUC
rnacentral:rRNA from 1 species